ensembl:lncRNA
ACCAAUAGUCGCUUAGGAUUCUGUUUUGUGGGCGUUAUUUCCUGCACUGUUUUGCAUGUCAUUUUUUCUUCUAAAUCGCUUGUGUAUAUGUUAGAAGGAAGACCGGAGACGAGGCAGUAACGGAUUUAACGGACUUCACGUCUCGCGAAUGGACACCUAAUGAAAUGAUGUGCUGUUCCCGCUCACGCAGCUCGGAUUUCACCGCUGGAUUUUAGAGCUUCGGUCACUGCUGUGGAUGAACCGGAGCCGGUGCUGGUCAGCUGGACAUGGCCAGCUCACACCUGGCUGAUCUGUCCCAGGCCUGGGACAACUACAUGGACAGCCGCGCGCAGGGCGCAGAUCUGCAGCCUCUCGCUGUCCAUUGAGUCCCUCACCAUCAUCUCCUGCUCUGAUUCAGAUAGUGGGACCCUGGUUGUCUGGUGAGUGUCUGAAACCUGCAGAAGGUCAUGACCCCUGCCACCUGCAAUAACCCUGCCUUGAAACCUUUGAGACUACUAACAAAGUGUAUGGACACUAGAUUAAAGUGUGUUAAACUGUUUCAAAUAGGCUGAUGCUUGUGGUCUGUGGCUUGCUAUUUUAGGUUAUUUUAGGACAUUUGGGACAUUUGUAUUUAUUCAUUUUGAUUUUAAAUAUAUGUCAAAUUCUUGACUGAUUUUGUGAGAUUCAUCCACUUCAUUUAUUUAUUUAAUGUUUUUC